CGCGCCGUCGCCCGUCGCCUCCCUGCUCCCACGCGCCGCCUGCGGCCUCACCGCUUCCACGCGCCGCCUCCGACCCCCUGCUUCCAACCCCCGCCGUCGGGGGCCACCCCAGCGCUGAAGAACAUAAACAUGGUCGCCCCGGUCGUUCAUUGCCACCAUCCUAGGUCGUUCAACAUGAUAGUGCCAAGCCGUUCGAUGCCCCAGCUCGGGAGCGCCCCGGCCGUUCAUUGACACCAUCCUGGGUCGUUCAACAUGACAGUGCCAAGCCGUUCGAUGCCCCUGCUCGGGAGGUGCCCGUCACAGCUUUCCCCACACCUCCUAUUGCAUGUUCAUGCUCCUUCUAUUGUGUACAUUCAGUUCAACAUCUGGUGGUUUUUCAGUUCACCAUAGAUGUGCAUUUUCAGCUUCAUCUUGCAGGUAUGAUCAUUCUCUGGCCUGCUAAUGUCUUUUGCAGUAACUUUGUACACAAAAUGAUAUAAUGUUUGUCACUCUGCGGUGAAGAAGAUAUCCCUAUGAUAAUGUUUGUCACUCUGAUAGGUUCGCUCCAUCUCUUGGAGCUGAAUGGCUGACCAUUUUUGGUCAAAUUUGGCAAUUGUUAACUUACGAACCUACCGACUCGGGUGUUCAUUUCAUUGGUCAAUUGCUAGAUUUAGGCUUUGAGAUUGCUGAGACAAUAAUCCAUGGAUCAGUCUUCCAAUGGAUAUAGUUCCUCCCAAAAAAGCACUAAAGGAGGUUAAAAAGCAUGGUUCUGCUUGCUUGUGUCAUUUUUCCCUUCAUCGACAGAAAAACUAGUUCAACUACAAAAGAAUACAUCAGUUCAAAUGUCAGUAAAAUAUCAGUUCAAAAAUAAAUAAAAACAACUUAAGUAUACGCCAUCAUGGAGCGCUUGCCUUCAAGAUUUAUCUCUUGUUCUUGUUUUCCCUUUCCAGGUUUACGUUCUAGCAUACCUUUUUUUCUUAUCAAUUACUCCCUCCGUAAAAAAAUAUAAGAGUGUUUAGAUUGCUACUUUAGUGAACUAAAUGAUAUUAUAUUUCUUUAUAGAGGGGAAUACCUCAUCUAUCCUUCCUUGUAGAUGGAGAUGUGUAUAUGUAUACAUGUGUUAUGGAGAGAGAAGAACUUAUCUGGUGGUGUGUGUGUGGGCUGCUGCAUCCUCGUCCGGCCGCUCUAGUCCACACUCUCAGUACAACUUCUCUAUGACCUCAUGUUCACAAAUCUUGUAGUACAUUUUUUUAAUCAAAAUCUUGUAGUACUAUGUAAAGCAAGUGUGGCCAACACAUACUUUAGAAGUGAUGCUAAAAACUGAGAUGUCAAAUUUAACAUUCUAUUAUUUUCUUUUAGUUUUGGUGUCUGAAUUUGUGGAUAUGUGAGCAGGCCCCAAUAUAGAGGUAGGCCUUGUCACUGCAAAUUUAUUAUACACCUGAUCCAAAUUCUUCUGAUGUUCUGGGCCUCUGGGGCAUGGGUCCAAUAUAUUAGUUUCUAUGCUCCACUGGUUCUCUCCACCACGAGCCCCAGCGUGGAUCACCCUCAGCGGCCAAAUCCAGGCGCGCACAGUCACUGCUCGUGAACCCCGCCUCCAUCAGCUCCACUUCACCGGAGCCGUCAGUGCGCAGGAGUAGGGGUAGAAGGUUCUGGUCAGAGUUCGGACUAUACCAAAUGUCCAAAUUACAUGGUGUGGUCUUCUGUUCUUUCUGUUCAUUUCAAGGUAACUGUAGCUGAACUUGUGUUGUGUUGAUACUGAACUUGUGUUUUGGCUGAUUCUAAACUGAUGCGUAUCGAACAUUGGUGUUUAAACAAUUCUUGGUCCAUUGACUGUUUGAACUUGCGACCUUACUGCCUUGAACUAUGGUCUAAAAAAACUGAACUCAUGCAGGUACUUGGUGGUGCAGACUUGGUAGCGGUGAUAUUUUGGUUCGCUUAAGAGUUCACAAAUGAAGAUUUCGAACAACAAUCUCUAAAUAUUUUCUUGAUCACUAAACAAGACCAAUUUUAGCAUGUUUCCUGAAAUAUUUUAGCAUGUUUUAUGUUUCCAUCUACAAGUUCACACACUACUGUCUCGGACGUUCAAACAUUUUUUCCCCUGAUGUUCAGAUAUUAUCUAGGAGGAAUACAUGUUGUAACUUCGAGAGAAAACAUUCAUGUUGAUUACUCCCGUCAAGUGUAAAAUUUUGCCAAUAUACAAUCUAUAAGUUCAAUAUCCAGUACAUUAGUUUAGUAGUUGGUACUAACUACUCCAGUUUUUUUCUUGAUGUACCUGUGGUGUCUAGUUUUUCUUUCAGUUCAAUUUCUAAAUUUCAGCCAGUUCAAUUCGUAUGGUAGCUCCAAUUUAGUCAACGUGGUUAAUUGUUGGCUGGUGUGUGUGCAGGGUACCGUGAUAUUGGGUAGGCGCGAAGUGUAUCACUCCAGCAUGCCAUGCUCCAGUGCAUGUCAACGUCUUCUCCACUGCAACGGAAGCUGCAGAUUUUGCUCCGCUCUACUUGCCUUGCUAGUGUUUGCUUUAAUGCCUCAAUGGUGCAUUGUGCAUCUUUUGCACUCUGAAGACAGAGCUUGAUUAGUCUGUUUCUACUAUUAGUUCAUGCAAACCUUGUUAUAUGAUGUCUUCUUUUUCAUUGUUACUCGAUGUCUCAUUUUCCUGUUUUCUGUUAUUUUUUUCUAGGGAAGGUUCUUGUAAUUAUUAGUUCUUUGAUUGUAUGAUGCAACCGCUUACUCGAUGUCAUUGUCAUUGUUCUUGUAGUUGCAUAUAUGGAAGUGUGUGCUUGGUUUGGUUCCAUUUAUCUUUCUCUCAUGCCUGCCCUUUUGAUCUUAUAGGAAUUGAGGCUUCGCCAAGGAACAAGACUGGUAACUAGCGCAAAUGAGACCAUGUCGAGAGGUGGCACUGCUAGACUUGUUGAUGUGUAGUUAUGGCAUAAAAAAGAUGGGAAAAAAUGGUGUCUUGUAUGAUUCCAUAAGGUGUACGUAGCAAAUCUUCCCAUGUGGAUCAGUACAACUUAUGUACGGCCUUGAGUUCACAAAUCUUAUAGUAAUCUUUGUAGCUCUUCGUAAAACUUCGUAAAGCAAGA